AUUGAACGCUGGCGGCAGGCUUUACACAUGCAAGUCGAGCGAGCGGCGGACGGGUGAGUAAUGUAUGGGGACUGCCCGAUAGAGGGGGAUAAAUAUUGGAGACGGUAGCUAAUACCCCAUACUAUCGGAUAACCCAUAUGGGGUUAGCUAGUAGGUGGGGUAAUGGCUCAACAAGGCGAAGCUCCCUAGCUGGUCUGAGAGGAUGCUCAGCCGCAUGGGGACUGAGACACGGCACAGACUCCUACGGAGGCAGCAGUGGGGAAUAUUGCACAAUGGGGGGAAGCCUGAUGCAGCCAUGCCGCGUGUAUGAAGAAGGCCCUAGGGUUGUAAAGUACGUUUAGUCGAGAAGCGUUACCUGCAGAAGAAGCACCGGCUAACUACGGGCCAGCAGCCGCGGUAAUAC
rnacentral:rRNA from 1 species